UACGUAGGGGGCAAGCGUUGUCCGGAAUCAUUGGGCGUAAAGAGCGUGUAGGCGGCUCGGUAAGUCCGCUGUGAAAGUCCAGGGCUCAACCCUGGAAUGCCGGUGGAAACUGUCGAGCUAGAGUCCGGAAGAGGCGAGUGGAAUUCCUGGUGUAGCGGUGAAAUGCGCAGAUAUCAGGAAGAACACCAAUGGCGAAAGCAGCUUUCUGGGACGGUACUGACGCUGAGACGCGAAAGCGUGGGGAGCGAACAGG
rnacentral:rRNA from 1 species